rnacentral:rRNA from 1 species
UACGUAGGGUGCAAGCGUUAAUCGGAAUUACUGGGCGUAAAGCGUGCGCAGGCGGUUUUGUAAGUCUGUCGUGAAAGCCCCGGGCUCAACCUGGGAAUUGCGAUGGAGACUGCAAGGCUUGAAACUGGCAGAGGGGGGUAGAAUUCCACGUGUAGCAGUGAAAUGCGUAGAGAUGUGGAGGAACACCGAUGGCGAAGGCAGCCCCCUGGGUCAAGAUUGACGCUCAUGCACGAAAGCGUGGGGAGCAAACAGG